CACUUCCGGUUUGUAAAUGACGUCACGCAAGUCCACUUCCGGUAUGGAACCCCACAUCUAUCACUGUUUCUCAGAGAGCCUCAUCCCAGCCCGCUGAAAGAUCCAAUCCUGUCCAAGCGGACGCCAAAGCAGCUCCUCAGCCCGCCUUUCUUGUAGCGGCCCCAGGAGCCCUUGGAGGUCCGGAAGAGGUCUUUGAAGAGACGGGAGAAGACGUGGGUCUUUGCCUCCAGUGCCGAGUUGCCGGGGUCCGAGAAGUCCCCGGGACGCCAGUCUGGAUCUCCACGCUCCGACUUCUCUCCGUCCAGCGUCUCCUCCGAGGAGCCAUGAGGUGGACACUACAAGCAAGUGAAAGUUGCAGCAGUCCCAACGAUGACGUCAGCGCUGAGAGGGUUCAUUGUGCAGACGUCGGGCGCCCCCUGGUGGCCAGAGUGUGACACUGUUGGAGGAAGACGGCGUCCAAAGGUUUUUUCACUGAAAAGUCCAAACAUCUUUGCACUAUUUUGACAUUUUUAAUUUGCAGAACCAACACAAAGUACCAAAAGUUUUUUUUUAAGAAACUAUACAGCUCCCAAAAUGGUAAAUACAACAUUGCUUUGUAUUCAUCUUUUUUUUUUUUGAGCAGUGACAUUUUAUUUCUUUUUUAAAUCCCACUCACAAAAGUGACUUAUUUUCUUUAUAUUUUUAUUUUCAACACUUAAGUCUCUAGAUCAACUUCGGAUCUAUCUAUCCAUUAUAAGUUAAAAGGUAUUUUGCCCAUUUUGUCCUAGAAAUUGACCCUCCACUUAUUAUAUUAAGUCAUACAUAUUUUUUACUUUUAACACCUGGAUCUUUAAGUCUUGAUAUCAACUUCAGAUCUAUUUAAGUGCCGAUAUCAACUUCAGAUCUAUUUAAGUCUUGAUAUCAACUUCAGAUCUAUUUAAGUCCCGAUAUCAACUUCAGAUCUAUUUAAGUCCCGAUAUCAACUUCAGAUCUAUUUAAGUCCCGAUAUCAACUUCAGAUCUAUUUAAGUCUUGAUAUCAACUUCAGAUCUAUUUAAGUCUUGAUAUCAACUUCAGAUCUAUUUAAGUCUUGAUAUCAACUUCAGAUCUAUUUAAGUCUUGAUAUCAACUUCAGAUCUAUUUAAGUCUUGAUAUCAACUUCAGAUCUAUUUAAGUCUUGAUAUCAACUUCAGAUCUAUUUAAGUCUUGAUAUCAACUUCAGAUCUAUUUAAGUCUUGAUAUCAACUUCAGAUCUAUUUAAGUCUUGAUAUCAGCUUCAGAUCUAUUUAAGUCUUGAUAUCAACUUCAGAUCUAUCUGUCAAUUACAAGUUUUUUUGGUUUGUUUUAUGGCCUUUUUGUCACAGAAAACUUGUCUUCAUGGCAAACAUGAUAUCUGCAAUAUUUCCCCCCAAAAUAUGAUCAAGUGUGAUGUUUCCAAGUGAAGAAUGCCAGCCUCCAAUAGUCAAAUCAUUCAUGACAACAUUCAUUUUCAUUCAUCUUUUGAGCAAUUAUUUUAUUUGAUUUUUUAAAAAUAAAUCACACUAAAAUUCUUAGUGAUCCAAAAUGGCCCAACCCAUAAAAGUGUUACAAAUAAUUUAUUGCUGUUUUUUUUUACUUCCAGUGCUUAAAAAUGUCGAUCAUCUUCAGAUCCGUCCGUCUAUUUUUAGUUGGUUUUGUAAUGUUGGUUUGUUUGUUUUAUCCCCUUUUUGUCAUACAACACUUAGUUUUUUAAGGCAAACACAAAAUGUGCAAUAUUUUCUCCCCAAAAUGUUUGCAAGAGUAAUAUUUGAUGUGAAGUCAUUGGAGCCUUCAAUAGGUACAUCAUUCA